UACGUAGGGUGCAAGCGUUGUCCGGAAUUAUUGGGCGUAAAGGGCUCGUAGGCGGUCCGUCACGUCGGAAGUGAAAUCCUGGGGCUUAACCCCAGAACUGCUUCCGAUACGGGCAGACUAGAGGUAGGUAGGGAGAAUGGAAUUCCUGGUGUAGCGGUGGAAUGCGCAGAUAUCAGGAGGAACACCAGUGGCGAAGGCGGUUCUCUGGGCCUUACCUGACGCUGAGGAGCGAAAGCGUGGGAGCAAACAGG
rnacentral:rRNA from 1 species